AAGCUCGUAGUUGAAUUUCGGGAUUAGUGCGCCGGUCGUGCCUUCGGUAUGUACUGGUGUUACUGGUUCCUACCUUCUGACGAACCGUCAUGUCAUUAAUUUGGUGUGGCGGGGAAUCAGGACUGUUACUUUGAAAAAAUUAGAGUGUUUAAAGCAGGCUCGCGCUUGAAUACAUUAGCAUGGAAUAAUGAAAUAGGACGUUCGAUCUUAUUUUGUUGGUUUCUAGGAUUGACGUAAUGAUUAAUAGGGAUAGUUGGGGGCAUUAGUAUUCAAUUGUCAGAGGUGAAAUUCUUGGAUUUAUUGAAGACUAACUACUGCGAAAGCAUUUGCCAAGGAUGUUCUCAUUAAUCAAGAACGAAAGUUAGGGGAUCGAAAACGAUCAGAUACCGUCGUAGUCUUAACCAUAAACUAUGCCGACUAGGGAUCGGAUGAUGUUAAUUUUUUAAUGACUCAUUCGGCGCCUUACGGGAAACCAAAGUGUUUGGGUUCCGGGGGGAGUAUGGUCGCAAGGCUGAAACUUAAAGGAAUUGACGGAAGGGCGCCACCAGGGGUGGAGCCUGCGGCUUAAUUUGACUCAACACGGGGAAA
rnacentral:rRNA from 1 species